rfam:Myotis davidii contig225047, whole genome shotgun sequence.
GGCAGUUCUCAGGUGACACACUCCAGAAUCGGGCUUCCUCCUCUCUGGUUACAGGUGCGUCAACCUAGAACCACA